AGGGUGUAAACGCUGCAGACUUGGUGUUGGAAGUCCUUUGGGGGCAUUCAGUGCCGGAGAGAAGUUGUUAAGUCUGCUACUUGGGGAGUACGUCCGCAAGGAUGAAACUUAAAGGAAUUGGCGGGGGAGCACCGCAACGGGAGGAGCGUGCGGUUUAAUUGGACUCAACGCCGGGAAGCUCACCGGAUAAGACAGCGGAAUGAUUGCCGGGCUGAAGACUCUGCAUGACUAGCUGAGAGGAGGUGCAUGGCGUAGUCGUGU
rnacentral:rRNA from 1 species